rnacentral:rRNA from 1 species
CGGACGGGUGAGUAAUGUCUGGGAAACUGCCUGAUGGAGGGGGAUAACUACUGGAAACGGUAGCUAAUACCGCAUAACGUCGCAAGACCAAAGUGGGGGACCUUCGGGCCUCAUGCCAUCAGAUGUGCCCAGAUGGGAUUAGCUAGUAGGUGGGGUAACGGCUCACCUAGGCGACGAUCCCUAGCUGGUCUGAGAGGAUGACCAGCCACACUGGAACUGAGACACGGUCCAG